ACUGCUCAGUAACACGUGGAUAACCUGCCCUUGGGUCCGGCAUAACCCCGGGAAACUGGGGAUAAUUCCGGAUAACGCACAUAUGCUGGAAUGCUUUAUGCGUAAAAUGGAUUCGUCUGCCCAAGGAUGGGUCUGCGGCCUAUCAGGUAGUAGUGGGUGUAAUGUACCUACUAGCCAACAACGGGUACGGGUUGUGAGAGCAAGAGCCCGGAGAUGGAUUCUGAGACAUGAAUCCAGGCCCUACGGGGCGCAGCAGGCGCGAAAACUUUACAAUGCGGGAAACCGUGAUAAGGGGACACCGAGUGCCAGCGUCAUACGCUGGCUGUCCAGGUGUGUAAAAUACACCUGUUAGCAAGGGCCGGGCAAGACCGGUGCCAGCCGCCGCGGUAACACCGGCGGCCCGAGUGGUGAUCGUGAUUAUUGGGUCUAAAGGGUCCGUAGCCGGUUUGGUCAGUCCUCCGGGAAAUCUGAUAGCUCAACUAUUAGGCUUUCGGGGGAUACUGCCAGACUUGGAACCGGGAGAGGUAAGAGGUACUACAGGGGUAGGAGUGAAAUCUUGUAAUCCCUGUGGGACCACCUGUGGCGAAGGCGUCUUACCAGAACGGGUUCGACGGUGAGGGACGAAAGCUGGGGGCACGAACCGGAUUAGAUACCCGGGUAGUCCCAGCCGUAAACGAUGCUCGCUAGGCGUCAGGCAUGGCGCGACCGUGUCUGGUGCCGCAGGGAAGCCGUGAAGCGAGCCACCUGGGAAGUACGGCCGCAAGGCUGAAACUUAAAGGAAUUGGCGGGGGAGCAC
rnacentral:rRNA from 1 species